rnacentral:rRNA from 1 species
AAUGAACGUUGGCGGCAUGGAUUAGGCAUGCAAGUCGAGCGAGAAGGGUUUUGAAGCUUGCUUUAGAGCCCGGAAAGCGGCGCAAGGGAGAGUAACGAGUAGUUAUCUACCCCAAGGCCCGGAAUAGCUGCGGGAAACUGCAGGUAAUGCCGGAUAAUAUCCCCGGAUCAAAGGUGUGAUUCCGCCUUGGGAGGAGACUGCUUUGUACUAGCUAGUUGGUAGGGUAAUGGCCUACCAAGGCUACGAUGCAUAGCGGGCGUGAGAGCGUGGCCCGUCUCACUGGGACUGAAACACUGCCCAGACACCUACGGGUGGCUGCAGUCGAGAAUCUUCGGCAAUGGGCGAAAGCCUGACCGAGCGAUGCCGCGUGCGGGAUGAAGGCCCUCGGGUUGUAAACCGCUGUCGUAGAGGAGAAAGGUCUGAUGAAGAAUCAGAUUUGAUCUAUUCUAGGAGGAAGUCGGGGCUAAGUUCGUGCCAGCAGCCGCCGUAAAAC